CAGAGACUGCGAGCGUUAUUCGGAUUCACUGGGCGUAAAGGGUGCGCAGGCGGCCAUGUGUGUUGGGCGUGAAAGCCCGGGGCUUAACCCCGGAAUUGCACCCAAAACUACAUGGCUAGAGCAUUGGAGAGGGUAGCAGAAUUCAUGGUGUAGCAGUGAAAUGCGUAGAUAUCAUGAGGAAUACCAGAGGCGAAGGCGGCUACCUGGACAAUUGCUGACGCUCAGGCACGAAAGCGUGGGGAGCAAAAGGGAUUAGAUACCCCUGUAGUCCACGCCCUAAACGGUGCACACUAGGUCUUGGCGGAUUCGACCCCCCCAGGGCCCCAGCUAACGCGUUAAGUGUGCCGCCUGAGGACUACGGCCGCAAGGCUA
rnacentral:rRNA from 1 species